rnacentral:rRNA from 1 species
UGGGGAAUUUUGCACAAUGGGGGAAACCCUGAUGCAGCGACGCCGCGUGAUUUAGAAGGCCUUCGGGUUGUAAAAAUCUUUUCUAUGGGAAGAAAAUGACAGUACCAUACGAAUAAGGACCGGCUAAUUACGUGCCAGCAGCCGCGGUAAUACGUAAGGUCCGAGCGUUGUCCGGAAUCAUUGGGCGUAAAGGGUACGUAGGCGGAUAAGCAAGUUAGAAGUGAAAUCCUAUAGCUCAACUAUAGUAAGCUUUUAAAACUGCUCAUCUUGAGGUAUGGAAGGGAAAGUUGAAUUCCUAGUGUAGCGGUGAAAUGCGCAGAUAUUAGGAGGAAUACCGGUGGCGAAGGCGACUUUCUGGCCAUAUACUGACGCUGAGGUACGAAAGCGUGGGUAGCAAACAGG